rnacentral:rRNA from 1 species
AGAGUUUGAUCAUGGCUCAGAUUGAACGCUGGCGGCAGGCUUAACACAUGCAAGUCGAGCGGAAACGACGAAAAGCUUGCUUUUCAGGCGUCGAGCGGCGGACGGGUGAGUAAUGCUUGGGAAUAUGCCUUAUGGUGGGGGACAACAGUUGGAAACGACUGCUAAUACCGCAUAAUGUCUACGGACCAAAGGGGGGGAUCUUCGGACCUCUCGCCAUUUGAUUAGCCCAAGUGAGAUUAGCUAGUUGGUAGGGUAAUGGCUUACCAAGGCGACGAUCUCUAGCUGGUUUGAGAGGAUGAUCAGCCACACUGGGACUGAGACACGGCCCAGACUCCUACGGGAGGCAGCAGUGGGGAAUAUUGCACAAUGGGCGAAAGCCUGAUGCAGCCAUGCCGCGUGUGUGAAGAAGGCCUUCGGGUUGUAAAGCACUUUCAGUAAGGAGGAAAGGGGUGUAGUUAAUAACUGCAUCCUGUGACGUUACUUACAGAAGAAGCACCGGCUAACUUCGUGCCAGCAGCCGCGGUAA